rnacentral:rRNA from 1 species
GACGAACGCCGGCGGCGUGCCUAAUACAUGCAAGUCGAGCGGACUUUCAAGAAGCUUGCUUUUUGAAAGUUAGCGGCGGACGGGUGAGUAACACGUGGGCAGCCUGCCUGUAAGACGGGGAUAACUCCGGGAAACCGGGGCUAAUACCGGAUAAUAUCUUUCUUCGCAUGAAGGAAGGUUGAAAGGCGGCGCAAGCUGCCGCUUGCAGAUGGGCCCGCGGCGCAUUAGCUAGUUGGUGAGGUAACGGCUCACCAAGGCGACGAUGCGAAGCCGACCUGAGAGGGUGAUCGGCCACACUGGGACUGAGACACGGCCCAGACUCCUACGGGAGGCAGCAGUAGGGAAUCUUCCGCAAUGGACGGAAGUCUGACGGAGCAACGCCGCGUGAGCGAAGAAGGUCUUCGGAUCGUAAAGCUCUGUUGUCAGGGAAGAACAAGUACCGUUCGAAUAGGGCGGUACCUUGACGGUACCUGACCAGAAAGCUACGGCUAACUACGUGCCAGCAGCCGCGGUAA